CGCACAUUGCGCCCCCUGGUAUUCCGGAGGGCAUGCCUGUCCGAGCGUCAUUAUCCACUUCAAGCCCGGCUUGGUGGUGGGGUCCACCGUCCCGACGGUCACCCCGAAAGACAAGAACGGGCUCCGCGCACCGUGGCUACAGCGAGCUUUUUAAGCACGUAUCCUGGUGCCGUGGGGCGCGCCUCAACCCCAUCGCAAGGUUGACCUCGGAUCAGACAGGGUUACCCGCUGAACUUAA
rnacentral:misc_RNA from 1 species